rnacentral:tRNA from 1 species
ACUGCGUUGGUAAAAUGGUUAAAACGCUACACUUGCUCUGUAGAAUUAAGGGUUGGAUUCCCUUUCAGGGUU